UGAACUCGCUGUGAUCGUGGGCUAGCAAAGUUAGUAAAGUGCCCUCCAGAUGGGAAACCCCAGGGAAUGAAGUAAAAAUAAACAUAAAGAACUUUGGUCCUUCCACACUGUGAGUUUGUUGAGGACAAAAAACAUGUACCCCAGUACCUGUCAUGUAGCAGAAUCUUGCUCAGUUUAUAUUUACUGGAUGGAUGGGUGGAUGGAUGGAUGGAUGGCACUAGGGAGCCAGCCUAGAAAGAACAUUGGCUGGCCUGAGGACCAGAAGGCUAGGGAUCGAGUCCUAGCUGUGUGACCCUGGGUAAAUCACUUAUUUUACCUGUCUAUAGUCUUCAGUUUCCAUAUCUGUCUAAUGUGAGGAUAAGGCUAGGAGAUCUCUGAGGUUUGUUCCCAACUCAAACCUUCUAGGGUACCAAAGGGCAAGUAUGAACAUCCAUCUAUGUGUUUACUUGGCCAUCUCUAUAAUCAAAUACACACCAGAGAGGUAUCAAUCUGUCUUUGUUAAGACUCUUUGAUUACAUGCAACAGGAACUAACUCAAGCCAGUGUAAGAGGGUGAGGAAAAGCAGACGAGGUGGAUGGGGAAUUUAACACAGGAUGCAAGGGUUUCUUGUGAAACUCUGGCAAGAUGUCUGGCCAGGUUUCGGGAGGAACGAGAACCAAGAACUGGAAAGCUGCCGGGAACCAGAUCAGGAAUCUCCCUCCACCCCCAGACUCUAAUUCUCUUUAUGAAUCUGCUUAAAUCUCUCUUUGAAAACCAGCUUUCUUGGCUUUUCUAUGCACACAGUAGAAGAUCAACACUCUAUGGCCCCCAGAUUGAUCUCUUGGCACUAACAGCAACUGACAAACACUAACAGGCUACCUCUGAGUUCCAAUUGCAAAUUCCUGGGAAAGAGACUCUGGCGUAACCUGGGCCAGGUGUCCUCUCCCUGGUCCAAUCAACUCUCACCAGAAGGACAGGGUUAUAAAUUCAAACAUGGCUGCUGAAGGCCCCUCAUGAUGGGUCGUGAAAGCAGCUAUCAGACAACAGAGGGCUAUUAUGAGGUAGGCAGCCUCCCUGAAAGGUAUCGCAUAUAAAGUCCAAGAAAAUGAAAUAAACAAUUUUUGUAUGGAUUAUUGAUAAGGACAAACAUUGUCUAACUUAAGCUUCCUCUUCGUGUGCAAUGGAACCCUUUCCAAAGCCACUUUAGAAACUCUGACAAACUUGAGGAAAAUCAGUUAAUUUUCAAAUUCAUCUAGGUUGCACACAAGCAUCACUAUUUUCUAGCACCUUUAGGAUGAUCUCACAAACAUUAUGAUGAUGGAGACUCAUGAGGGGGCCUUGUGCUCUGGACUGCUAGUGUGUGCCACAGCCUCCUUUCUCAUCACUUUACCAAAAGAUGUGAUUUGAAAAACAUAUGAAAAUAUUGCCACUGAACUCCCACACCAAUUCCUGAAGAGCUACUGAGGAUUUUGGUGUCACUUUAGAAGUCACUCUAUUUGUGAAUAGCCCAGCAAGAGAAUCAGGUCAAGCUAUUAGGGAGAGUCUAUGGAAAGCAAUGGAAUCAAAUUUCCAGCCAGAAUUUCAGGGUAAAAUUAGAAGUCUUCAAGAAGUAAACUAUGAGCCAACCAGCAUCCCUACUUGGACACUGCUCCAGCUGCCUGAAUGACGUAACUAACAUUUAGAGAUAACAGUGAAUAGAAAGACACACACGACACCAUCUGAAUCACAGUAAAGAGAUGGGUGGACCUGG
rnacentral:lncRNA from 1 species